rnacentral:misc_RNA from 1 species
GAAAUGCGAUAAGUAAUGUGAAUUGCAGAAUUCAGUGAAUCAUCGAAUCUUUGAACGCACAUUGCGCCCCCUGGUAUUCCGGGGGGCAUGCCUGUUCAAGCGUCAUUUCACCACUCAAGCCUCGCUUGGUAUUGGGCAACGCGGUCCGCCGCGUGCCUCAAAUCGACCGGCUGGGUCUUCUGUCCCCUAAGCGUUGUGGAAACUAUUCGCUAAAGGGUGUUCGGGAGGCUACGCCGUAAAACAACCCCAUUUCUAAGGUUGACCACGGAUCAGGUAGGGAUACCCGCUGAACUUAAGC